rnacentral:rRNA from 1 species
AACGUAGGGGACAAGCGUUAUCCGGAUUUACUGGGCGUAAAGCGCCCGUAGGCGGCUUGAUAAGUUGGACGUGAAAGCUCCCGGCUUAACUGGGAGAGGCCGUUCAAAACUGUCAAGCUAGAGUGAGGAAGAGGAGAGCAGAAUUCCCGGUGUAGUGGUGGAAUGCGUAGAGAUCGGGAGGAAUACCAGUGGCGAAAGCGGCUCUCUGGUCCUAAACUGACGCUGAGGGGCGAAAGCGUGGGGAGCGAACGGGAUUAGAAACCCCCGUAGUCC